AGAAAAGUAGGUGCCGCCCCGCACAGGGGCAACGCUAAUAGACCACUAACAAAUCAAGGAAAGGCCAAAGCCCCAAAAAAAUACCAUCUCAGCAGCGAACCCACC
rnacentral:sRNA from 1 species